rnacentral:rRNA from 1 species
CGGUGGAGCAUGUGGUUUAAUUCGAAGCAACGCGAAGAACCUUACCAGGUCUUGACAUCCCGAUGCUAUUCUAGAGAUAGAAGUUACUUCGGUACAUCGGUGACAGGUGGUGCAUGGUUGUCGUCAGCUCGUGUCGUGAGAUGUUGGGUUAAGUCCCGCAACGAGCGCAACCCCUAUUGUUAGUUGCCAUCAUUCAGUUGGGCACUCUAGCGAGACUGCCGGUAAUAAACCGGAGGAAGUGGGAUGACGUCAAAUCAUCAUGCCCCUUAUGACCUGGGCUACACACGUGCUACAAUGGUUGGUACAACGAGUUGCGAGUCGGUGACGGCGAGCUAAUCUCUUAAAGCCAAUCUCAGUUCGGAUUGUAGGCUGCAACUCGCCUACAUGAAGUCGGAAUCGCUAGUAAUCGCGGAUCAGCACGCCGCGGUGAAUACGUUCCCGGGCCUU